rnacentral:lncRNA from 1 species
AUGUUUUGUGUAUGUCAUAUUUAUCAUUACACACAGAGGAAGAAUGAAUAUAACCUGAUGAGACUGCUUACCACUUGUUCAUUGAUCGGUCAGAUUUUGUUAUUGGAUUGUGCUUCCAAUGGUUGGCAAGCUGAAAUGGAUUUUGCUCUUUCCUCUAUUUACUGGCAGAAACUAGACCCUCUGUCACAGAAAGAGAGGUAAGACGGACGGACAGACGGAUGGACGGAAGGAAGGAAGGAAGGAAGGAAGGAAGGAAGGAAAAAGGGAGAGAGAGAGGUAGGGAAGAAGGAAAAGGAAGGGAUGGAAGAAGGUGGAGGGAGGAAUGAAGUGAGAGGAAAAGAAGACAAAAAGAUAAGAAAUAAAGCAAAAAAGAGAACGAAAUGAAGGAAGGAAAGGAAGGAAGCAAGGAAGAAAGGAUAGAAACAAAGGCACCUAGUGUUUCCUUUUCUCACCCC